rnacentral:rRNA from 1 species
UACGUAGGGUGCAAGCGUUAAUCGGAAUUACUGGGCGUAAAGCGUGCGCAGGCGGUGAUGUAAGACAGGUGUGAAAUCCCCGGGCUUAACCUGGGAACUGCAUUUGUGACUGCAUUGCUGGAGUGCGGCAGAGGGGGAUGGAAUUCCGCGUGUAGCAGUGAAAUGCGUAGAUAUGCGGAGGAACACCGAUGGCGAAGGCAGCCCCCUGGGAUAACACUGACGCCUCAUGCACGAAAGCGUGGGGAGCAAACAGG